CAAGCACUUUCGACGAAAAUUAGUUGUCAUUUUGCUCGAUUCAGAACAGAAUAAGCUAAAAUGAUGUCCAAUAUACCAUCAACCAGACAUUAAAGACAAACAUCCUAGCCCAAUCCCCAACAUGCCCACGGAUCAAUGUGAAUUGCUUGUCGGCCUUUGCAACUAUAUCAUGUCCAUUGAUGAUGCCAAGUGUUUGGAAAAAGAAUGGGACCGAAGCUCGACACCCCGUCCAAUGGGCUUAAGUCUCAAAAAACUUCAAAGCAUACUUAACAUGGAGCAGUCUAUGGACAAUGAUUGUUUCAAUAUUGCUGUGCGUAUUCUGGCAUGCGACGAGGGAGUAUUGUUCACAGACCCUCCAAUACACUACAUGGAUCUACAAUUUUGUUCCAUGCUGUGGGAUUCAACACGAGAGUCAAAAGUUUUUGCGAUAAGGAAACUAUUCAGAAGUUGGCAACUUUGUUUGAUAGCUGGCAUGGGAUAGACAACAACAAAAUAUCGUGCAACAUGAUUUAUCUUCCAUAUGAAUCCAUCGUCGAUACAUCUUGUACGUCAUCGAAAAAGAGGCAUGUCAUGUAUCUAUUCUGGAUCCUAUUCGUACAAUACAAACGACGGAGAUGAAAAUUUUGAGGCACUUAGUGAAAUUAAAAAGUUUUGCGAGGGAAUUCAAAGAAGCACUCGAAAUAAAGCAACCAGGAUGGCAUUCUGAUAUAUCAAAAUGCGAACGUGUAUUUCCUAAUGGUAUUCCAACGAGCAUAGACGGGGAUUUGUCAGGUUUUUAUGUCUUUCAUUUUAUGCUCUGGUGAAACGGUAAAGACCUUGUGCAACCGGUUUGUGCGGAUGGGUAUGAGUUGAGGAAGCGGUUUUUAUUAUACUUGCUCAAACAUCGUGCGAAUGAAGCUAAAGACAACUUGCCUGAUAUUGUACGAGAAUUUCUUAAGCGCAUCAAGU